AGCGUUAUUCGUCGUGAUUGGGUGUAAAAACAGCUAGGCUGUCCGGUUAAACUUGGUUUCAAAAAACUGCAUUAAGGUUUUUUUGUAAGAAUUGCCGGUACUAGAGGUAACUAGACGUUGGUAGAGUUGUAGUUGGAGCGGUGAAAUGCUUAGAUAACUGCAGAACUUUCGAAAUGUAGCAAGGCUGUCUACGAUAGUUACCUGACGCUGAACUGUUAAAGUAUGAGUAUCAAAGAGGAUUGGAGACCCUCGUAGUUCAUACCCUGAAUAAUGGAUGUCAAUUUUUGAAGUUAGCUAACGCACGAACAUCUUACCUGAAGAGUAAGGUCGCAAGGAUUAAAUUUAAAGAGAUUGGCGGGAGUUUAGAUAAAUGGUGGAACAUGUGGUUUAAUUCGAUAAUCCGCGAGAAACCUUACCAGUGUAAGAUGCAAAACCUAGAAAGUUAAUACCUAACUUUACCGUUGUUUUUGUUUAGGUACUGCAUGGCUGUCGUCAGUUCGUUAUGUAGGUUUACUUCGAACACAAUCUUUAAUGGCGACUAACGCUUUACUUUAGGCUUGAAACUUAGCUGCCUAAAUAAGCCGUAUGUCGUCUUAUCAUCCGAGUACUGGGUAUUAUAUCCUUAACUUUGGUGAAUGGAGAGGGGAAGUCAAGUCAUUAUGGUCUUAAUAUGCUGGGCUACACACGUGUUACAGGGGCAAAACCAAUGGAAACCGCCUCAAAGCGACUAAUUCCUAAAAAUUGCCCCGGUUCAGAUUAUUCAUUGAAAUUUAUGAGUAUGAAGCAGGAAUCAUUAGUAAUCGCAUAUAAGAUCGCUGCGAUGAAUCUUUUUAAACUUUGCACACACCGCCCAUCAUAUUCGAAGAGUUGUCUCGGUUUGAAGAUAAAACCCCGCCUGGUUAACUUAGUUAAAUUGAGGCGAAUCUGUCUAAAAACGGGGUG
rnacentral:rRNA from 1 species